GCGGGGUGCGGUGGCGCACACCUGUCUUCCCAGCAGCUCGGGAGGCUGAGGCAGGAGGAUCGUGAGUUCAAAGCCAGCCUCAGCAAAAGCGAGGUGCUCAUCAGCUCAGUGAGACCCUGCCUCUA
rnacentral:sRNA from 1 species